UCGUAACGCUAGGGGUCCCGCACAAAUCCGCGACGUUGUCGCGGUCUGGCGAGCAAGCUCCGAAACCUCCCGCAGGAGUUUUCGGAGCUUCCUUUCCGGACGGGUGAGAGAAACCCUUGGAACCUGAUCAAGUUAACUCUUGCGCAGGGAAGCGUAUGCCGGCUUCC
rnacentral:ncRNA from 1 species